AGUAAGAUGCCGGAUGCGCAAUCGGGCUAUGAAAAAGCGCUGAACACGUGGUGACCGCAAAUUCCGGCGCAAACCUUGUUUACGAGGCC
rnacentral:ncRNA from 1 species